UACGAAGGGGGCUAGCGUUGUUCGGAAUCACUGGGCGUAAAGCGCACGUAGGCGGCUUUUUAAGUCAGGGGUGAAAUCCUGGAGCUCAACUCCAGAACUGCCUUUGAUACUGGGAAGCUCGAGUCCGGGAGAGGUGAGUGGAACUCCGAGUGUAGAGGUGAAAUUCGUAGAUAUUCGGAAGAACACCAGUGGCGAAGGCGGCUCACUGGCCCGGUACUGACGCUGAGGUGCGAAAGCGUGGGGAGCAAACAGG
rnacentral:rRNA from 1 species